rnacentral:piRNA from 1 species
GAGCAACACAAUCUGCCGGUCCCAAAAG